rnacentral:rRNA from 1 species
UCUCCGUUGGUGACCGCGGAGGGCCUACUUUAAUCUGCCUCCCAAACCCAAUGUGAACCAUACCAAACUGUUGCCUCGGCGGGGUCACGCCCCGGGUGCGUCGCAGCCCCGGAACCAGGCGCCCGCCGGAGGGACCAACCAAACUCUUUCUGUAGUCCCCUCGCGGACGUUAUUUCUUACAGCUCUGAGCAAAAAUCAAAAUGAAUCAAAACUUUCAACAACGGAUCUCUUGGUUCUGGCAUCGAUGAAGAACGCAGCGAAAUGCGAUAAGUAAUGUGAAUUGCAGAAUUCAGUGAAUCAUCGAAUCUUUGAACGCACAUUGCGCCCGCCAGUAUUCUGGCGGGCAUGCCUGUCCGAGCGUCAUUUCAACCCUCGAACCCCUCCGGGGGGUCGGCGUUGGGGAUCGGGAACCCCUAAGACGGGAUCCCGGCCCCGAAAUACAGUGGCGGUCUCGCCGCAGCCUCUCAUGCGCAGUAGUUUGCACAACUCGCACCGGGAGCGCGGCGCGUCCACGUCCGUAAAACACCCAACUUCUGAAAUGUUGACCUCGGAUCAGGUAGGAAUACCCGCUGAACUUAAGCAUAUCAAUAAGGGGA